GAACCGGUCGAACGUUAUUCGGGAAUCACUGGGGCUUAAAGGGUGCGUAGGCGGCUUGACAAGUUGGGGGGUGUGAAAUCCCUCGGCUCAACCGAGGGAAUUGCGCCCAAAACUGUCAGGCUAGAGGGAGAUAGAGGUGAGCGGAACUAAUGGUGGAGCGGUGAAAUGCGUUGAUAUCAUUAGGAACACCUGUGGCGAAAGCGGCUCACUGGAUCUUUUCUGACGCUGAGGCACGAAAGCUAGGGUAGCGAACGGGAUUAGAUACCCCGGUAGUCCUAGCUGUAAACGAUGAGCACUGGAUUGGAGGCUCCUCCAUAGGCUUCCGGUCGAAGCGAAAGUGUUAAGUGCUCCGCCUGGGGAGUAUGGUCGCAAGGCUG
rnacentral:rRNA from 1 species